rnacentral:rRNA from 1 species
AUGAACGCUGGCGGCGUGCUUAACCCAUGCAAGUCGAACGAGAAGUGAAGACGGAAACCUUCGGGCGGAAGGCUUUAUUUCGAGUGGCGGACGGGUGAGUAACGCGUGGGUAACCUGCCUCAUACAGGGGGAUAACAGUUGGAAACGACUGUUAAUACCGCAUAAGACCACAGCACCGCAUGGUGCGGGGGUAAAAACUCCGGUGGUAUGAGAUGGACCCGCGUUCGAUUAGCCAGUUGGCGGGGUAACGGCCCACCAAAGCGACGAUCGAUAGCCGAUCUGAGAGGAUGACCGGCCACAUUGGGACUGAGACACGGCCCAAACUCCUACGGGAGGCAGCAGUGGGGAAUAUUGCACAAUGGGGGAAACCCUGAUGCAGCGACGCCGCGUGAGUGAAGAAGUAUUUCGGUAUGUAAAGCUCUAUCAGCAGGGAAGAAAAUGACGGUACCUGAGUAAGAAGCCCCGGCUAACUACGUG